rnacentral:rRNA from 1 species
UACGUAGGGUCCGAGCGUUGUCCGGAAUUAUUGGGCGUAAAGGGCUCGUAGGCGGUUUGUUGCGUCGGGAGUGAAAACUUACAGCUUAACUGUGAGCGUGCUUCCGAUACGGGCAGACUUGAGGUAUUCAGGGGAGAACGGAAUUCCUGGUGUAGCGGUGAAAUGCGUAGAUAUCGGAAGGAACAUCAGUGGCGAAAGCGGCUUCCUGGACCAGUACCGACGUUCAGGCACGAAAGCGUGGGGAGCAAACAGGA